GACGAACGCUGGCGGCGUGCUUAACACAUGCAAGUCGAACGGAAAGGCCUGCUUUCCCUUGUGGAUUGCGGGUACUCGAGUGGCGAACGGGUGAGUAACACGUGAGUGAUCUGCCCCCAACUUGGGUAUAAGCCUGGGAAACUGGGUCUAAUUCCCGAUAGGACUGCAGGGUGGUGCCUGUGGUGGAAAACGAUUUUCUAGUGGUUGGGGAUGAGCUCGCGGCCUAUCAGCUUGUUGGUGGGGUAAUGGCCUACCAAGGCGGCGACGGGUAGCCGGCCUGAGAGGGUGGACGGCCACAUUGGGACUGAGAUACGGCCCAGACUCCUACGGGAGGCAGCAGUGGGGAAUAUUGCACAAUGGGCGGAAGCCUGAUGCAGCGACGCCGCGUGGGGGAUGACGGCCUUCGGGUUGUAAACUCCUUUCGACCGCGAGGAAGCCACCUGGUUGGAAGGGUGGUGACGGCAGUGGUAGAAGAAGCACCGGCUAACUACGUG
rnacentral:rRNA from 1 species